UACGGAGGGUGCAAGCGUUGUCCGGAUUUAUUGGGUUUAAAGGGUGCGUAGGCGGUUCUUUAAGUCUGGGGUGAAAGCCCGUUGCUCAACAACGGAACUGCCCUGGAAACUGGAGGACUUGAGCACAGACGAGGGUGGCGGAAUGGAUGCUGUAGCGGUGAAAUGCAUAGAAUAGCAUCCAGAACCCCGAUUGCGAAGCAGCUGCCUAGACUGUAACUGACGCUGGAGGCACG
rnacentral:rRNA from 1 species